UACGGGGGGAGCAAGCGUUGUUCGGAUUUACUGGGCGUAAAGCGUGCGCAGGCGGUUGUGUAAGACAGAUGUGAAAUCCCCGGGCUCAACCUGGGAACUGCAUUUGUGACUGCACAGCUGGAGUGCGGCAGAGGGGGAUGGAAUUCCGCGUGUAGCAGUGAAAUGCGUAGAGAUGCGGAGGAACACCGAUGGCGAAGGCAGCCCCCUGGGCCAACACUGACGCUCAGGCACGAAAGCGUGGGGAGCAAACAGG
rnacentral:rRNA from 1 species